GAUGAACGCUGGCGGCGUGCUUAACACAUGCAAGUCGAACGAUGAAGCCCAGCUUGCUGGGUGGAUUAGUGGCGAACGGGUGAGUAACACGUGAGUAACCUGCCCUUAUCUCUGGGAUAAGCCUGGGAAACUGUGUCUAAUACCGGAUAGGAGCGCCUACCGCAUGGUGGGUGUUGGAAAGAUUUAUCGGUUUUGGAUGGACUCGCGGCCUAUCAGCUUGUUGGUGAGGUAAUGGCUCACCAAGGCGACGACGGGUAGCCGGCCUGAGAGGGUGACCGGCCACACUGGGACUGAGACACGGCCCAGACUCCUACGGGAGGCAGCAGUGGGGAAUAUUGCACAAUGGGCGGAAGCCUGAUGCAGCGACGCCGCGUGAGGGAUGACGGCCUUCGGGUUGUAAACCUCUUUCAGUAGUGAAGAAGCGAAAGUGACGGUACUUGCAGAAGAAGCACCGGCUAACUACGUG
rnacentral:rRNA from 1 species